rnacentral:misc_RNA from 1 species
UACGUAGGUGGCAAGCGUUCUCCGGAAUUAUCGGGCGUAAAGCGCGCGCAGGCGGUCUGUUAAGUCUGAUGAGAAAGCCCCCGGCUCAACCGGGGAGGGUCAUUGGAAACUGGCAGACUUGAGUGCAGAAGAGGAGAGUGGAAUUCCAUGUGUAGCGGUGAAAUGCGCAGAGAUAUGGAGGAACACCAGUGGCGAAGGCGGCUCUCUGGUCUGCAACGGACGCUGAGGAGCGAAAGCGUGGGGAGCGAACAGG